GGGGAAUAUUGCACAAUGGGCGCAAGCCUGAUGCAGCGACGCCGCGUGAGGGAUGGAGGCCUUCGGGUUGUAAACCUCUUUUGUUUGGGAGCAAGCCUUCGGGUGAGUGUACCUUUCGAAUAAGCGCCGGCUAGCUACGUGCCAGCAGCCGCGGUAAUACGUAGGGCGCAAGCGUUAUCCGGAUUUAUUGGGCGUAAAGGGCUCGUAGGCGGCUCGUCGCGUCCGGUGUGAAAGUCCAUCGCUUAACGGUGGAUCUGCGCCGGGUACGGGCGGGCUGGAGUGCGGUAGGGGAGACUGGAAUUCCCGGUGUAACGGUGGAAUGUGUAGAUAUCGGGAAGAACACCGAUGGCGAAGGCAGGUCUCUGGGCCGUCACUGACGCUGAGGAGCGAAAGCGUGGGGAGCGAACAGGAUUAGAUACCCUGGUAGUCCACGCCGUAAACGGUGGACGCUGGAUGUGGGGCACGUUCCACGUGUUCCGUGUCGGAGCUAACGCGUUAAGCGUCCCGCCUGGGGAGUACGGCCGCAAGGCUAAAACUCAAAGAAAUUGACGGGGGCCCGCACAAGCGGCGGAGCAUGCGGAUUAAUUCGAUGCAACGCGAAGAACCUUACCUGGGCUUGACAUGUUCCCGACGACGCCAGAGAUGGCGUUUCCCUUCGGGGCGGGUUCACAGGUGGUGCAUGGUCGUCGUCAGCUCGUGUCGUGAGAUGUUGGGUUAAGUCCCGCAACGAGCGCAACCCUCGCCCCGUGUUGCCAGCACGUUAUGGUGGGAACUCACGGGGGACCGCCGGGGUUAACUCGGAGGAAGGUGGGGAUGACGUCAGAUCAUCAUGCCCCUUACGUCCAGGGCUCCACGCAUGCUACAAUGGCCGGUACAGCGGGAUGCGACAUGGCGACAUGGAGCGGAUCCCUGAAAACCGGUCUCAGUUCGGAUCGGAGCCUGCAACCCGGCUCCGUGAAGGCGGAGUCGCUAGUAAUCGCGGAUCAGCAACGCCGCGGUGAAUGCGUUCCCG
rnacentral:rRNA from 1 species